rnacentral:rRNA from 1 species
CUCUUGACAUCCAGCGAAGCCUUUAGAGAUAGAGGUGUGCCUUCGGGAGCGCUGAGACAGGUGCUGCAUGGCUGUCGUCAGCUCGUGUUGUGAAAUGUUGGGUUAAGUCCCGCAACGAGCGCAACCCUUAUCCUUGUUUGCCAGCACGUAAUGGUGGGAACUCCAGGGAGACUGCCGGUGAUAAACCGGAGGAAGGUGGGGACGACGUCAAGUCAUCAUGGCCCUUACGAGUAGGGCUACACACGUGCUACAAUGGCAGAUACAGAGGGCAGCGAGACAGCGAUGUUUAGCGAAUCCCUUAAAGUUUGUCGUAGUCCGGAUUGGAGUCUGCAACUCGACUCCAUGAAGUCGGAAUCGCUAGUAAUCGUGGAUCAGAAUGCCACGGUGAAUACGUUCCCGGGCCUUGUACACACCGCCCGUCACACCAUGGGAGUGGGCUGCACCAGAAGUAGAUAGCUUAACCUUCGGGAGGGCGUUUACCACGGUGUGGUUCAUGACU